GUGGUGUAGCAGGGACUCUGGGGUUCUUUACAAAUUUGAGUUAUAUAGACACCUUCCCAUCCCCAGCCCUACCUUAAAUGUUUUUCCCUCUAGGUCAAGCCCCACAGUUCUCCUCCCCACAUAAAGGGAAGCAUUUGCGGACCAGCCUUGCACACCCAGCCUUCCGAGCAUGCUAACCCGGUCUGCCCACCGGAAAGCAGGAGUGUCCUACCACGAGGGAGUCGGACUAGAUAAUCUUGACCGUCCCUCUCAGCUUUAACAUCCCAGGCUCCCCCGGAGCUCCCGGAAUCGAAGUCGGUCACAGUCGGGGAGGCAGACACUGCUGUCAACUAAUCCAGGGAUAAUGCUAGAACAUCACAGAGAAGCUCACAAGGUCUUUCCUCCUCAAGACAACCAGAAGGGAGAAGACCAAGACCAGGCCAAAGUGCUCCCCCACCUCCGACCCCAACAAUUCAAGAGGCAUAGAGGAAUGGUUCUCUCCUCAUUCUCAGUUCACUAAAAUGUCUAUCCCAGUUCCAACUAUCUGAAUGCUUAUAUACAGGCAAGCAUCAUUUCACUCCAUCAAAUGGCUUUCAAAGACUUUUCUAAUUUUUCCAAUAAUAAACAUUUUUAUUGAUUGUUCCUUCCACUACUCUGCUCCCCAGCAAUAAAAAUAUUUCAAAAUAUAUCUACAUAAUCCAAUAAAACAAUAAAAAACUUCAAAAUGUAUCUGCAUAAUCCAGUAAAACAAUACAAAUACUAUAAAAAUCUACAUAAUCCAAUAAAACAAAG